ensembl:lncRNA
GUGGGUUUAAGUUUAGAUAUUUCACUUAAGGAACACAUGCUCAUGCUUGCAGAAGUUGCUAAUUUAUAGCCAGAAUUCUGGCAAAAAUCACAGCUCUGGUAAAGAUGCACCUGAGUGUGGAUUGAAUUACCAAAAUUCUACAGUUAAAUAACAGUCACAGACAACACGGAUACGAAGCAUGAAAGCUACUCACAUCCUCUUGGCCUCCACUUCUCCCCAUUUCAGAACUUUCUAUCAAACUGUCACAAUGCUUUUUUUUUUUCCCCUCAAUUAAAAUUGGUUUGAAUUUAGCUCACUGUGUGCUUACCCAGGGGAGCUAGCACUUCCAAUCCCUUCAUGCUCCUCAAGUGAAAUUUGCACCCAACCAAGCACUACCAUGCAUUAAAACAUAAUGCAAUUUUUUGUCGUAAGGAAGCUACUUGCAGUGUGAUGAAGUUCAGAAAUGCCAGUUGAUGCACUUCAUGGCAUUGCAAGAAACUUCCCCUCCCCCCCCAGUUUGUUGACAAAUCAGUGGAAAGUAUAUACAACAUAUCAACCAAAACAUUCCAUCAAUUAAAAAAAAAAUCCCAAGAUUGCAGUGAUAAUAUCCCAUGCAAAUCUGAAGUCCAGUUAGGAAAUGUUCAGCAGCAGUCUCAUAAGUGAAAAGCCCAAGCCUCCCUACAGCCAGCCCGUUCCCCACCCACUGCAUGGAGCAGGCAUAGACAGGGCCAGAUAGCCCAGCAAAAAGGAAACGGAGGGGUUAGAGCUGUCUAAGCUAGAGUUGCCCUAGUAAAGGUGUCACCAGCACCUGGCCAGAUCAUGGAACUGAACAAGCAACAUCACCACCCACCCCUGUGCCAAGCAAACCUCUGCCUCCCCCACUUCACACUGCUGAGGUUAGACAUAGCUACAUUCAACUCUCACAUAACAUGGGUAGGCUGAAGCUUCAGCUUUAGUACAUGAGCAUUCUUAAAUGUACUUUAGCAUGGUCUAGUGGUGCUACUUGAAUGCUUUUUCGAAUUUCACAUCAGAAUCCUUCCUUGGGAAAACGCAGCAUUUUCAAUGCAUUCCUUCUCUCCAGGAAUAAUUCAGUUUUGCCUAAAGGUCUUUCAUUAUCC